UUGUAAAAGUAAUGGAAAAAACUUUUUUUAAACUUCCAACUUUGAAAAGAAUGCCAAAAUAUUUUGCAAAAAGUCAUGAAAUUCUAUCUUUAGUCAUAUGAAGGGGGAAGAUGGUGAGAAAACGUACUUUUGAAUAAAAAUCCGGAUAUUUUCUAAAUUGGAGUCAUACGACAUUCUAAUGGCAGCAGUUGACACGGUACAGUGGUGUAGUGGUUAGCACUCUCGCCUCCCAGACAGAUGCCUCGGGUUCAACUCCACCCAGUGGCGCCUUUGGUGUAGGCUAAGCCUGCAUGGGGUUCACUCCAUAUUUGUAAAAGUAAUGGAAAACACUUUUUUUAAACUUCCGAGUCUGAAAAGAAUGCCAAAAUAUUUUGCAAAAAGUCAUGAAAUUCUAUCUUUAGUCAUAUGAAGGGGGACGACGAUGAGAAAACGUACUUUUGAAUAAAAAUCUGAAUUUUUUCUAAAUUGGAGUCAUAAGACCUUCUAAUGGCAGCAGUUGACACGGUACAGUGGUGUAGUGGUUAGCACUCUCGCCUCCCAGACAGAUGCCUCGGGUUCAACUCCACCCAGUGGCGCUUCUGUGUUAGGUGGUGUAGGGUAAGCCUGCAUGGGGUUCACUCCAUACUUGUAAAAGUAAUGAAAGAACUUUUUUUUAAACUUCCAAGUCUGAAAAGAAUGCCAAAAUAUUUUGCAAAAAGUCAUGAAAUUCUAUCUUUAGUCAUAUGAAGGGGGAUGACGGUGAGAAAACGUACUUUUGAAUAAAAAUCUGAAUUUUUUCUAAUCGGAGUCAUAAGACAUUCUAAUAGCUGCAGUUGACACGGUACAGUGGUGUAGUGGUUAGCACUCUCGCCUCACAGACAGAUGCCUCGUCAACUCCACCCAGUGGCGCCUUUGGUGUAGGCUAAGGCUGCAUGGGGUUCACUCCAUACUUGUAAAAGUAAUGGAAAAAACUUUUUUAAAACUUCCAAGUCUGAAAAGAAUGCCAAAUUUUUUUUGCAAAAAGUCAUGAAAUUCUAUCUUUUCUAUUAAGGGGGACGACGGUGAGAGAACGUACUUUUGAAUAAAAAUCUGAAUUUUUUCUAAAUCGGAGUCAUAAGACAUUCUAAUAGCUGCAGUUGACACGGUACAGUGGUGUAGUGGUUAGCACUCUCGCCUCACAGAAAGAUGUCUCGGGUUCAACUCCACCCAGAAAAGAAUCUGAAUUUUUUCUAAAUCGGAGUCAUAAGACAUUCUAAUAGCUGCAGUUGACACGGUACCAGUGGUGUAGUGGUCAGCACUCUCGCCUCACAGACAGAUGCCUCGGGUUCAACUCCGCCCAGUGGCGCCACUGUGUUAGGUGGUGUAGGCUAAGCUUGCAUGGGGUUCACUCCAUACUUGUAAAAGUAAUGCAAGAUUUUUUUUUAAACUUCCAAGUCUGAAAAGAAUGCCAAAAUAUUUUGCAAAAAGUCAUGAAAUUCUAUCUUUAGUCAUAUGAAGGGGGAAGAUGGUGAGAAAACGUACUUUUGAAUAAAAAUCUGAAUUUUUUCUAAAUCGGAGUCAUAAGACAUUCUAAUUAAAGCGGUUGACACGGUACAGUGGUGUAGUGGUUAGCACUCUCGCCUCCAAGACAGAUCCCUCGAGUUCAACUCCACCCACUGGCGCCUAUGUGUUAGGUGGUGUAGGCUAAGCCUGCAUGGGGUUCACUCCAUACUUGUAAAAGUAAUGCAAGAUUUUUUUUUUAAACUUCCGAGUCUAAAAAGAAUGGCAAAAUAUUUAGCAAAAAGUCAUGAAAUUCUAUCUUUAGUCAUAUGAAGGGGGAAGAUGGUGAGAAAACGUACUUUUGAAUAAAAAUCCGGAUAUUUUCUAAAUUGGAGUCAUAAGACAUUCUAAUUAAAGCAGUUGACACGGUACAGUGGUGUAGUGGUUAGCACUCUCGCCUCCCAGACAGAUGCCUCGGGUUCAACUCCACCCAGUGGCGCCUUUGGUGUAGGCUAAGUCUGCAUGGGGUUCAUGCCAUACUUUUAAAACUAAUGGAAAAAACUUUUUUUAAACUUCCAAGUCUGAAAAGAAUGCCAACAUUUUUUGCAAAAAGUCAUGAAAUUCUAUCUUUAGUCAUAUGAAGGGGGACGACGGUGAGAAAACGUACUUUUGAAAAAAAUCUGAAUUUUUUCUAAAUUUGAGUCAUAAGACAUUCUAAUUAAAACAGUUGACACGGUACAGUGGUGUAGUGGUUAGCACUCUCGCCUCCAAGACAGAUCCCUCGGGUUCAACUCCACCCACUGGCGCCUCUG
ensembl:lncRNA